rnacentral:rRNA from 1 species
CAUGCAAGUCGAGCGGGCACCGUAGGGUGCCAGCGGCGAACGGGUGAGUAACACGUAAGUAACCUACCCAUUGGACGAGGAUAACUACUGGAAACGGUAGCUAAUACUGGAUAGGUACUGCAACCGGAGGGGGGCAGUAUGAAAGGCCCAUGAAGGGCCGCCAAUGGAUGGGCUUGCGUCGCAUUAGCUAGUUGGUGAGGUAAGGGCUCACCAAGGCGAUGAUGCGUAGCCGACCUGAGAGGGUGACCGGCCACACUGGGACUGAGAGACGGCCCAGACUCCUACGGGAGGCAGCAGUAGGGAAUCUUCGGCAAUGGACGGAAGUCUGACCGAGCGAUGCCGCGUGAGCGAAGAAGGUCUUCGGAUCGUAAAGCUCUGUUAUGAGGGAAGAAGGACGUAGGCAGGCAAUGGCCUACGGG